UUAGCGGCGGACGGGUGAGUAACGCGUGGGUAACCUGCCUCAUACAGGGGGAUAACAGUUAGAAAUGACUGCUAAUACCGCAUAAGCGCACAGUGCUGCAUAGCACAGUGUGAAAAACUCCGGUGGUAUGAGAUGGACCCGCGUCUGAUUAGGUAGUUGGUGAGGUAAUGGCUCACCAAGCCGACGAUCAGUAGCCGACCUGAGAGGGUGACCGGCCACAUUGGGACUGAGACACGGCCCAAACUCC
rnacentral:rRNA from 1 species